AAGACCGGGUUGUGAAUUUGUGUCCAUUUCGUUUGUUAUUAGACGUGUGUUACAGUAGGUAAGGUGCUUGAAAUGGCGCGAAUCAUACGUAAUAUACAUUCGUAAUGAUACAAACGACAGUUCCCACAGUGUUAGAACUGAGUGUAGUGAUUGUCACCCGAAACCUAAAUCCCGCCUCUGCGUUAGUCUGCAAUCUGAAGUGUUCUCUUAACAUUCUGGUAUUGCAAAGCCUCGUUGAGUGACACUGAAGCAAGCAGUAAAAGUUCUCCUUUUGUGAAACGGGGGAGCUGACCUGUCCGGCCUUCGAAUUAGUUAUGAGGAAGUGGGCCCCAGCACGGAAAGAGACAGUUUAACACCUGCUGGACAUAUUGCUGGCGAGAUGGGAUGCCAAGAAGCUGAGGGGCCGGACAUCACGAAGGUCGUCCGUGAGUAAUGCAG